UACGUAGGGACCAAGCGUUGUCCGGAAUCAUUGGGCGUAAAGAGCGUGUAGGCGGCUUGUUAAGUCUUGCGUGAAAUCUCGGGGCUCAACCCCGAGCGGUCGUGAGAAACUGGCAGGCUAGAGUGCGGGAGAGGAGAGUGGAAUUCCUGGUGUAGCGGUGAAAUGCGCAGAUAUCAGGAAGAACACCCGGUGGCGAAGGCGGGCUCUGGCG
rnacentral:rRNA from 1 species